UGUCUAAAUAUCAUGUCAUUGAGUUGAAUGUGAGGCCAGUGGUAUGGGAGGACAUAAAAAGCAGUGUAGAAGAUGCUAGAGUUUUGAUUGAGUCUGAAAUGUUCAAGGAGAUGGUCAUAAUCAUAGGUUGUUUGGAAGAUGUGAGAAGAAUUGUAACAGUUAAAGACACCAACCAAAACAUUGAAAAGGAAAAACAUAAGUUGACAGAAUGUGGCUGGUUCUUCUGGAAGGUUUUCUAGUUUUUCCAUCAGUGCUUUGUAAGAGUCUGUGUUCAAGGAAUUCUUGGGCUGGGAGGUUGUUGAUAAUGCUUUCAGCAAACAUACCAGGCUGCUCGCAGGAGAGUAUAAAGUGAAGGAUGAAGUUCCUUAGCGAGUGAGAAGGAUUGUUCAAGAAGCCCAUUCCCAGUCCUUCUGGAGUUUUCUGUUUGUUACAGAAAGUAGAGUGAAAAAUUCUCUGAGACGGCUUUAAGCAAAGAGAAUUCAUAUACUUUUUGAGUUAGAUCAGGCAUGGAAAAUCUGUUUUAUUUCAUAGGUUACCUUUGAUCAAAUGAUGGUUGUCUAGAACUCCUUGUUGAGAAGAAUUCUGAGAUGAUAUCUGGGAUGAUGGAAAAAGAGUACUGACACCAGUCAAAAGACCAAGACAGCUGGAAAGACUGUCAUUCAAACAAUGUUCUAGCCGCAAGCCAAACCAAAGAAGGUCUGAACCUCGUGUUGGACACUGAACUGGCUUAUUAAAGAAAUACAGUUCAUUGCUGCCCCCCUGACUGGACAGAUGGAAAGAUGAUGAUGUUUCACUUUGGUUCUGUGAACUUCACUGCAGCUACAUUUACAUAGAAAGAGAAGAGGUCAGACAUAAAGCAUGAUCCAGUGGCUUGCCCUAGUCCAGGGGACUGUUCUGUAAGGAGGAAAAAUAGCUUCCUUCUACCUUUCUGAGUAUUUGCCUGAGACCCCUGUAAUAAAAGCAGAUUAACAAAAGACAGACAAACAGAAGUUUAUUACAUGUAUACCUCAUGUGCAUGUGGGAGAUACCCAGCGAGAUUGCAUAAUUAGGGUGAAUAACCCAAGGUGGCUUAGAAUCCAGACGUAGAUACCAUCUUAACAGGGAAAGUGGAAAGGGAUGUAGGUCUCUGAGGGGAAAGUAAAUGAUUUUUAGGACAGAUGAAAGGCCCUUAAAAGGGUAGAUGAGAGGUGUGAUAGUUUGUGACAAAGUGUGUCUGGGUGUGGUGUCGACCUCUAGUCAGUCUCCUCUCCUGCGACAAGAGUUGAUCUUCCCGGGCUGAUGAAACUCUGGAGAGGGGAUUUAUGACAACUGAGUUCCCUUUGGAGUGUCUGUCUUUAGGCAGAUCAGGGGAGUUCAAAGAAAGCCUCUCCCUGCAUUUGCUGUUUUAUAUGUCCUUACAACUCAAAAUUAUCCAGAUACCAAAGCAGCAUAUUUUGAGGGUGGCAUGCCCUGAACUCCUACAGUCAUACUUUGGGGUGGCAUAUUCUGCCACCCUUUAGUUCCAACUGAGACAGUUAACAAAAAGAAUGUUUCCUAGGAAUUGAGCAGAAAGGAACUGUUAGGUACUAGCCACAUGCCAGAAAAGAAAUUUGAGAAGUGGGAUUGCACUGGGUAGAACUGUGUCCCCCAAAAGAUAUGCUGAAGUCUUGACCCCAAACUCAUAAUUGUAACAUUUGGAAACAGGGUCUUGGCCGAUGUAAUCAAGCUAAAAUGAACUCAUACUGUAUUAGGGUAAACCCUAAUCUGGUGUCCUUUUAAGAAGAUGGAUGUUUGGACACAGGCAAUUAUCAGGAAGACACUGUGUGAAAAUGGAGGCAGAGACUGGAAUGAUGCAGCUGCAAGCCAAGGAUUGGGGGCAACCACCAGAAGCUAGGAGAGAGGCAUGAGACACUUCCACCCUCAGAGCCUCCACUAAGAACCAACCCUGCCAACAACUUGAUUUCAGAUUUCUGGCUCUAGAACUGUGAAAGAAUAAAUUUCUUUUGU